rnacentral:lncRNA from 1 species
GAAAAUGAAGAGGACCUUGUCCUACAUCCACCUGCAGGUCAUUGGUUUCGUGAAACAAACUUUCUAUGAGACACGGUUGUGAUGAAGCAUGACUCUUUUUUCCCUCUUUAUUUUCAUGCAUCUAGCUGUUCCUGUACUUGAUUUAUCUGCUCCAAUUUUUUCAGGUAUUCUUGUUUAUUUUGACCAUUUCCAUGGUCUCUACAUAUACAGGUAAAGGGAAGAGUGAUCAAAGGGGCAACAUGCAUGAGAUUUGUAUAGAUGCAUAGGAGAGAUGCUUUGCUGAUGUUACAUACUCAUGCUUUCAGUGAUAGAGGAAGAAUUUAUAUUGCAAUAGAAGGGCCUGCAAAUUUUGUGUAUGAUAAAUUUUGGCCAGUUAUAAGGAUUUAAUACUAGCAUAUCCAGGAAAGGAAUGAUAAAGCUGAGAAUUAUGAGUUUUAUAUAUUGGAAAAUUUAAAGGACAA